rnacentral:rRNA from 1 species
GAUGAACGCUGGCGGCGUGCUUAACACAUGCAAGUCGAACGAUGAAGCCCAGCUUGCUGGGUGGAUUAGUGGCGAACGGGUGAGUAACACGUGAGUAACCUGCCCUUAACUCUGGGAUAAGCCUGGGAAACUGGGUCUAAUACCGGUUAGGAGCGCCUACCGCAUGGUGGGUGUUGGAAAGAUUUAUCGGUUUUGGAUGGACUCGCGGCCUAUCAGCUUGUUGGUGAGGUAAUGGCUCACCAAGGCGACGACGGGUAGCCGGCCUGAGAGGGUGACCGGCCACACUGGGACUGAGACACGGCCCAGACUCCUACGGGAGGCAGCAGUGGGGAAUAUUGCACAAUGGGCGAAAGCCUGAUGCAGCGACGCCGCGUGAGGGAUGACGGCCUUCGGGUUGUAAACCUCUUUCAGUAGGGAAGAAGCGAAAGUGACGGUACCUGCAGAAGAAGCACCGGCUAACUACGUG